GAUGAAGAACGCAGCGAAAUGCGAUAAGUAAUGUGAAUUGCAGAAUUCCGUGAAUCAUCGAAUCUUUGAACGCACAUUGCGCCCCCUGGCAUUCCGGGGGGCAUGCCUGUCCGAGCGUCAUUUCUGCCCUCCAGCCCGGCUGGGUGUUGGGCGCUGUCCCCCCGGGGACACGCCCCAAAGGCAGUGGCGGCGCCGCGUCGGGUCCUCGAGCGUAUGGGGCUUUGUCACCCGCUCGGGACGGACUCGUCGGCGCUGGUCUUCCUCCAGGCGACCCUUCGGGGCUCGUCUUCCUUCGGUUGACCUCGGAUCUGGUAGGGUUACCCGCUGAACUUAAGCAUAUCAAUAAGCGGAGGA
rnacentral:misc_RNA from 1 species